rnacentral:rRNA from 1 species
GAUGAACGCUGGCGGCGUGCCUAAUACAUGCAAGUCGAACGAACAGACGAGGAGCUUGCUCCUUUCACGUUAGCGGCGGACGGGUGAGUAACGCGUAGGUAACCUACCUGUCAUACUGGGAUAACUUCGGAAAACCGGAGCUUAUACCGUAUAAUAUUUCGAACCGCAUUGUUCGAUAGUGAAAGUUGGCUUUUCUAUCACUUAUAGAUGGACCUCCGCGGUAUUGGCGAGUUGGGAAGUUCACGGCUUAUCAAGGCAACGAUACGUAGCCGACCUGAGAGGGUGAUAGGCCACCUUGGAACUGAGACAGCGUCCAUACUACUACGGGAGGCAGCAGUAGGGAACCGUACGCAAUGGGCGGAAGUCUGACGGAGCAACGCCACGUGAGUUAUGAAGGUCCUGGGAUCGUAAAACUCUCUUAUUAGGGAAGAACCAACGUGUAAGUAACUGUGCACGUCUUGACGGUAACUAAUCAGAAAGCAACGGCUAACUACGUG